UUCAAUGAUGAGGCGGCACUAGGCUCCGACGGGCGUUAAAAAACGCUCGGUCUUGAUGGAUAUGCCUCAUUUGCGGCAGGUCUAGGAAACCUCGCCCACUGAUU
rfam:Aspergillus clavatus NRRL 1 1099423829805 genomic scaffold, whole genome shotgun sequence.